UCCGGGCGGGUCUUUCUUUAGGUGGCGGC
rnacentral:sRNA from 1 species